CAAACGACUCUCGGCAACGGAUAUCUCGGCUCAUGCAUCGAUGAAGAACGUAGCGAAAUGCGAUACUUGGUGUGAAUUGCAGAAUCCCGUGAACCAUCGAGUUUUUGAACGCAAGUUGCGCCCGAAGCCAUUCGGCCGAGGGCACGUCUGCCUGGGCGUCACGC
rnacentral:rRNA from 24 species